GAACAUGGAUUGUGGAAGCUGACUUCCUGCCAUUAAAAAUAUACCGUUUGUUACAACAACAUAAUGUCAGUCAGAUAGAGGAGAGGACAUCAUCAGCCACAUGGUGGUACAUUGGGAAAGUCAUCAGGUAAGUAAAGAUCAUCGUGGAAAGGAGUCCCUUCGCUCCAAUGAUGACAGCCCUCAUGAGAUCCGUCCUUGAUUC
rnacentral:lncRNA from 1 species